GAUGAACGCUGGCGGCGUGCUUAACACAUGCAAGUCGAACGAGAAAUGUAGACGGUUACCUUCGGGCCGAAGCCUUCAUUUCGAGUGGCGGACGGGUGAGUAACGCGUUGUUAACCUGCCACAUACAGGGGGAUAAGAGUUGGAAACGACUGUUAAUACUGCAUAAGAUCACAGCAUCGCAUGAUGCGGGGGUAAUAACUCUGGUGGGAUGAGAUGGACCCGCUUUCGAUUUGACUGUGGGCAGGGUAACGGCAGACCAAAGCGACGAGCGCUAGCCGAGCUGAGAGGAUGACCGGCCACAUUGGGGCUGAGACACGGCCGGGACUCCUACGGGAGGCAGCAGUGGGGAAUAGUGCAAAAUGGGGGAAGCCAUGAUGCAGCGACGCCGGGUGAGUGAAGAAGUACUUCGGUAAGUAAAGCUCUAUCAGCAGGGAAGAAAAUGACGGUACCUGAGUAAGAAGCCCCGGCUAACUACGUG
rnacentral:rRNA from 1 species